rnacentral:rRNA from 1 species
CAGCUAGAGUAUGAUAGAGGAAAGCAGAAUUUCUAGUGUAGAGGUGAAAUUCGUAGAUAUUAGAAAGAAUACCAAUUGCGAAGGCAGCUUUCUGGAUCAUUACUGACACUGAGGAACGAAAGCAUGGGUAGCGAAGAGGAUUAGAUACCCUCGUAGUCCAUGCCGUAAACGAUGUGUGCUAGACGUUGGAAAUUUAUUUUCAGUGUCGCAGCGAAAGCGAUAAACACACCGCCUGGGGAGUACGACCGCAAGGUUAAAACUCAAAUGAAUUGACGGGGACCCGCACAAGUAGUGGAGCAUGUGGUUUAAUUCGAAGCAACGCGCAGAACCUUACCAUCCCUUGACAUCCCUGUCGCGGAUCCAGAGAUGGAUCUUUCAGUUAGGCUGGACAGGUGACAGGUGCUGCAUGGCU